rnacentral:rRNA from 1 species
GACGAACGCUGGCGGCGUGCUUAACACAUGCAAGUCGAACGGGGUGGCGAGCGGGUAAGUAACACGUAGCCGACCUGCCCUGCACUGCGGAAAGAGCCUGGGAGACGGGGACUAAUACCAGUAAGUGGGGGAUGGGCCCGCGGCCUAUCAGCUUGUUGGUGGGGUAAUGGCCUACCAAGGCGGCGACGGGUAGCCGACCUGAGAGGGUGGACGGCCAAGUUGGGACUGAGACACGGCCCAAACUCCUAUGGGAGGCAGCAGUGGGGAAUAUUGCACAAGGGUGGGAAGCCUGAUGCAGCAACGCCGCGUGGGGGAUGACGGCCUUCGGGUUGUAAACUGCUUUCACCGUCGACGCGGUAGAUGCAGAAGAAGCACCGGCUAACUACGUGCCAGCAGCCGCGGUAAUAC